CGUGAGUAACCUGCCCUGGAGUGGGGAAUAACAGCUGGAAACAGCUGCUAAUACCGCAUAAUGCAGUUGGGCCGCAUGGCUCUGACUGCCAAAGAUUUAUCGCUCUGGGAUGGACUCGCGUCUGAUUAGCUAGUUGGUGGGGCAACGGCCCACCAAGGCGACGAUCAGUAGCCGGCCUGAGAGGGUGGACGGCCACAUUGGGACUGAGACACGGCCCAAACUCCUACGGGAGGCAGCAG
rnacentral:rRNA from 1 species